CGGCGGCACCGGCGGGGCCGGCGGCACCAUCGGCGCCGGUGUCGCCGGCGCCUCCGGCGGGGCCGGCGGCAGCGGCGGUUCCAGCCUGACCGCCGCCGGC
rnacentral:tRNA from 1 species